GAUGAACGCUGGCGGCGUGCUUAACACAUGCAAGUCGAACGGAAAGGCUCCUGCUUGCCGGGGUCCUCGAGUGGCGAACGGGUGAGUAACACGUGGGUGAUCUGCCCUGCACUUCGGGAUAAGCCUGGGAAACUGGGUCUAAUACCGGAUAGGACGAUGGUUUGGAUGCCAUUGUGGAAAGUUUUUCGGUGUGGGAUGAGCUCGCGGCCUAUCAGCUUGUUGGUGGGGUAAUGGCCUACCAAGGCGUCGACGGGUAGCCGGCCUGAGAGGGUGUACGGCCACAUUGGGUCUGAGAUACGGCCCAGACUCCUACGGGAGGCAGCAGUGGGGAAUAUUGCACAAUGGGCGCAAGCCUGAUGCAGCGACGCCGCGUGGGGGAUGACGGCCUUCGGGUUGUAAACUACUUUCGCUAGGGACGAAGCGCAAGUGACGGUACCUGGAGAAGAAGCACCGGCUAACUACGUG
rnacentral:rRNA from 1 species